CGUCGAGUCGCGAACCGAUCCGUCGGGGAGCGAGCCGGGGAACCAAGCACCUGGGGUGAAUCCCCCUCGUGGCCGCGUGCGGCCGGGCGGGGGUAGGGCCAAGUCGUGCCCGAAUCCGUCAGCUCACCUGGUAGACGUCA
rnacentral:sRNA from 1 species